AUAAAACAAACGUUUAAUUUAAUUCAGAAUAAGAGAUAAGAAAUAACUCUUCAAUAAAAUAUAUAAAAUUAUACAAGGCACCCUUUCAAAGGGAUAAAGGUAUACUUGGGACAGGGAGGGGGUGCUGGAUAGAAAGAUUAAAUACCAAGGAGCUAUAUGGGCUGUCUGACAACACCAUUUUUUAUCAAGUCAAAACAUGGCUUUACCCUCUGCCCCCAAUAUGUUAAAAAGUAUAUAAAUUUUUCUAAUAAGUUUAGCACAUACAAUAGGUACAUACAGAGAAAGCAUGAUUUUCUUCUUUUUGGAUCUAUUCAUUGCUCAAGAAUAUUUAGCAUAUAGACAAUGGUUACAAGAUACUCAUUUUUUUUUUUUAAAGCAGAGAAUUAACUACAUCCCUCCCCCAAAUUGCCUUUGCAAUGUGUGAGGACUGACAUACCCAGUGGUUCACAGAAACCAUCAAUUCCUCCCAACAUGCUUUAACUUUUCUCUCCCCAAUUAUCUGAAAUGAAGUUAAGCAACAGCCUUGAGAGGAAUUAGGAAGGACCUCCGUUUUCCACCUUACCCCGGAGGACUCUCAGGAUUCUAAUCUUUUAUUGAUCUUACAAAAACUUUUAAUAAUGUGUAAUAAACAAGGUGGAGAGGGGGGAAAAAUAUAGGGCCAAAUAGGGUCAUGUCUAGUGAGUUUUCGAUCUAUGUGAGUUUUUAAUGCACAUGAAAAAUGCAAAAACAUGGUGUGUCCCUUCCCUGGGAGGAAUCUCUCCAUAUCUACUCCUUAUGCAAGUAAUGUCUAAUUCUAACGUUUGUUUUCCAUAA
rnacentral:lncRNA from 1 species